UGGGGAAUAUUGCGCAAUGGGGGCAACCCUGACGCAGCCAUGCCGCGUGUGUGAAGAAGGCCUUCGGGUUGUAAAGCACUUUCAAUGGGGAAGAAAAGCGUAGCGUUAAUAGCGUUGCGCCGUGACGUUACCCAUAGAAGAAGCACCGGCUAACUCCGUGCCAGCAGCCGCGGUAAUACGGAGGGUGCGAGCGUUAAUCGGAAUUACUGGGCGUAAAGCGCGCGUAGGCGGUUUGUUAAGUCAGCUGUGAAAGCCCCGGGCUUAACCUGGGAACUGCAGUUGAUACUGGCCGACUAGAGUACGAGAGAGGGAGGUAGAAUUCCAUGUGUAGCGGUGAAAUGCGUAGAUAUAUGGAGGAAUACCGGUGGCGAAGGCGGCCUCCUGGCUCGAUACUGACGCUGAGGUGCGAAAGCGUGGGGAUCAAACAGG
rnacentral:rRNA from 1 species